CCUACGGGAGGCAGCAGUGGGGAAUAUUGCGCAAUGGGCGAAAGUCUGACGCAGCGACGCCGCGUGAGGGACGAAGGCCUUCGGGUCGUAAACUUCUGUCAGCAGGGAAGAACGGUCACUGGGGUAACUAGCAGUGAAUUGACGGUACCUGGAAAGGAAGCACCGGCUAACUCCGUGCCAGCAGCCGCGGUAAUACGGAGGGGGCGAGCGUUGAUCGGAGUGACUGGGCGUAAAGCGCACGUAGGCGGUAUGUCAAGUCAAGGGUGAAAUCCCCGCGCUCAACGUGGGAACUGCCUUUGAAACUGGCAAACUGGAGUGUGUGAGAGGAUAGCGGAAUUCCAGGUGUAGCGGUGAAAUGCGUAGAUAUCAGGAGGAACACCAGUGGCGAAGGCGGCUAUCUGGCACAUAACUGACGCUGAGGUGCGAAAGCGUGGGUAGCAAACAGGAUUAGAUACCCUUGUAGUC
rnacentral:rRNA from 1 species